GGCUUCGUAGCUCAGCUGGUAGAGUGCUUACUGCGUUUAAGCAUGCUGUUUCUGUCGCUGGUUCGAAUCUAGCCGAAACCC